AUCUUCCACAAUGGACGAAAGUCUGAUGGAGCAACGCCGCGUGAGCGAAGAAGGUUUNNNGAUCGNACAGCUCUGUUGUGAGGNAAGNACAAGUACAGGAGUAACUGUCUGUACCUUGACGGUACCUCAUUAGAAAGCCACGGCUAACUACGUGCCAGCAGCCGCGGUAAUACGUAGGUGGCAAGCGUUGUCCGGAAUUAUUGGGCGUAAAGCGCGCGCAGGCGGCCUUUUAAGUCUGAUGUGAAAGCCCACGGCUUAACCGUGGAAGGUCAUUGGAAACUGAAAGGCUUGAGGACAGAAGAGAAAAGCGGAAUUCCACGUGUAGCGGUGAAAUGCGUAGAGAUGUGGAGGAACACCAGUGGCGAAGGCGGCUUUUUGGUCUGUAACUGACGCUGAGGCGCGAAAGCGUGGGGAGCAAACAG
rnacentral:rRNA from 1 species